rnacentral:misc_RNA from 1 species
UCAGUCAGUCAGCUGUGUUGGAUUUGUUGAUGUCUAUAAAAACAGUAAUGGAAAGCGGUAAUACGGAAAUUGAAGAGACCUCAGUUGUAGCCGCAAUCAAGCCCGAGACCAAGGUACUGUCAAUUGGAGAUGACGAAGACCUAAUUAGAGACAAGUCAGAAGAAAACAAGGAAAACUCAUUUCAUGAUGCUGUUCGAAAACGUUUGUGUGCACUAACAACGGGUAUUAAAAGUCCCCUCGAGCCUAUUGUAAUAGGGAGUUCAGUGAAUAACUUUGGUGCGGCUCGUAUUAUGAAAAAUAAUAAGCCCAGUCAAUAUCGUUUUUACUGUCUAAAAGGCAACGAUUGGAGAUCUCAUAUGAUUAUAUCUGGCCUAACAUUCAAUGCAAAGGAUGCUUUUAAAUAUGUGAAAAAUAGACUAAAAGAGGAAACCUGGAUAUCUGAGGAUACCAUAGAAGCUCCACUGAAAACAAACGGUAAUGGUGGCUUUCGCCUCGAAUCCGAUUUGUAUAUUCAAAAUAUUGUUGCGGAAGCACUUGAUGCAGAAUGGAAAAGGUUGCUUAAUUUCAUAAUAUUUUUACACAGAAAUUAUCGAUAAUAUUCUAAUAUAUGAAGACCAAUCUGAUAGCAUAAAAGUGUAUUGCAGCUUUAUCUAGCUGAAACGAAAAGCUUUAAUUGAAAGCUUUUGCCACAGUUGCGAAAUUACUAACGAUUAGUAUUUGGCCGGCUGCAGUGUAUAUAUAGCGUCAUCGAAGACUGUUGCCAAUAAGAAAGCUACAGAUAGUCAAGCCGAGCAGUUCCAAAAUUACAAUAAUAAUAAAUAAUAUGAAUAUCGAAAACGAGAUAGAAGAUAAAAAUGCUCUGGCGACACAGACAUCGACUACAAAAGUUUUGGCCAUAGGAAAUCCGACAGAGGUCAUAAAUUGCCCAAGCCCGGAACAUACUAAAAAUAAUAAUAAUAAUUCCAACAAGGUAAAACAAUUUAAAGAGGAAUGCACCAAUUAUUUGAGUUUAGUUCUGAUGGGAAAUCCAACGCCAGUCGACGAUGUCAGCGGCUUGUGUCCCAUUGAAUGGUUUGGAAUGGAAGUUAUCCGCAAAGCGAAUCAGCCUACUUGUUAUAAGUUUUACUGUUUUCCCGCACAGAGAACCCAACCUAAGCACGUUAAUGUAUAUUACUUCUACCAGACAAUUAAUGCAAAUGCCAUUUUGCGCGAUGUUAGGCGAUUUUUGAAGGAGGAACGUUGGAUGUCUAAACAUCUUUUAAUGGGGCCACUGAAGGCAAAACUAACUCCUAGUGCCUUUAGCUCUGAGCAAACUCAUAUUGAAACUUUUAUUUCUAAGGCCUUCGAUAUUGAGAGAAGGAAGGCAUUACCGUACCUGUUGUACUGUCACAGAGAACAUGUACAAAAUAAGAAGUAUCGUAAAUAAAUUAAAUAAUAGCUGUACUUUAUGUAUAUUUUAAAAUUUUCAUUAAUAUAAGCAAAACAACAAACUUACAGAUCUCUCAUUUCUGAGGACGUAAUAUAUCUACACGAAAACAUUACUGUAAGCUCAAGCGAACAGCUGUUGGAUGUAAACAACAAACUUAAAAAAAAUAAUAAUGAUACGAAAAGCUUUAAGAGAGUAGCUUACAUACAUAUAUAUAUGUACAUGUACGAAUAAAUAGCAAUACGAUUUCAAAGUGAGAUGCAUAUGUGUAAACGUAAGCGAAAAGUAAACAUGGAAAUCAAUAAAACAGAAAUUGAAGAAAAGUCAGGUAAUACGAGCAUUUUAGAAGAUAGAUAGAAGAUAUCUGAUUUUUAUGAUGCACAUUUCCAGCCAUAGCUAAAUUGACAUAUACUCAAAAAGUAUUAUCAAUUGGAGAUGACGAAAGCACAGCGAGUGAAAAAUCUGUUGAGAAUCGUAACGCGGAUAUUUUACAAGAGAGUUUCAGAAAACAUUUGUGCCAGCUCUUAACUGGGAGCCGAAUAGCCAUCGAAGUUGUUGAAGAUUGGAAUAGAGUGGAUAGAUUUGGAGUAACUAGUAUUAAAAAAGAUAAACAACCCAGGCGCUAUCAUUUUUAUCUGGUGCAUGGGAAUAUUUACAAGCCGGGUGAUAUUUUCUCUGAGCCGGUAUUCGAUGGAAAGGCAAUCAUGGAGGUUGUAAGGAAUCGACUAAUUGGUGAGAAUUGGAUAUCAGAAAACGUCAUUGAAACACCUCUCAGAACUAAAUUCGAUCGUAGUCUAUACCACAGCUCCGAUCAAUUCAUUCAGCAAGUUGUUUCGGAUGCUCUGAACACAGAAGCGCCGAAACUCUUUAGGUUCCUGCAAUUCUUACA